AAGGCCUUAGCUUAAUUAAAGCAUCUGUGUUGCAUGCAGAAGCUGUGGGCUAAUAUCCUGCAGGCCUUA
rnacentral:tRNA from 1 species